rnacentral:rRNA from 1 species
UUUGAACGCUGGCGGCAGGCCUAACACAUGCAAGUCGGACGGUAGCACAGAGGAGCUUGCUCCUCGGGUGACGAGUGGCGGACGGGUGAGUAAUGUCUGGGGAUCUGCCCGAUAGAGGGGGAUAACCACUGGAAACGGUGGCUAAUACCGCAUAACGUCGCAAGACCAAAGAGGGGGACCUUCGGGCCUCUCACUAUCGGAUGAACCCAGAUGGGAUUAGCUAGUAGGGGGGGUAACGGCCCACCUAGGCGACGAUCCCUAGCUGGUCUGAGAGGAUGACCGGCCACACUAGAACUGAGAAACGGUCCAGACUCCUACGGGAGGCAGCAGUGGGGAAUAUUGCACAAUGGGCGCAAGCCUGAUGCAGCCAUGCCGCGUGUAUGAAGAAGGCCUUCGGGUUGUAAAGUACUUUCAGCGGGGAGGAAGGCGAUAAGGUUAAUAACCUUGUCGAUUGACGUUACCCGCAGAAGAAGCACCGGCUAACUCCGUGCCAGCCGCCGCCGUAA